rnacentral:rRNA from 1 species
UGGGGAAUAUUGGACGAUGGGCGCAAGCCUGAUCCAGCCAUGCCGCGUGAGUGAUGAAGGCCCUAGGGUUGUAAAGCUCUUUCAGCGAGGAGGAUAAUGACGUUACUCGCAGAAGAAGCCCCGGCUAACUUCGUGCCAGCAGCCGCGGUAAUACGAAGGGGGCUAGCGUUGUUCGGAAUCACUGGGCGUAAAGCGCACGUAGGCGGACUUUUAAGUCAGGGGUGAAAUCCCGGGGCUCAACCUCGGAACUGCCUUUGAUACUGGAAGUCUGGAGUCCGAGAGAGGUGAGUGGAACUCCGAGUGUAGAGGUGAAAUUCGUAGAUAUUCGGAAGAACACCAGUGGCGAAGGCGGCUCACUGGCUCGGUACUGACGCUGAGGUGCGAAAGCGUGGGGAGCAAAACAGGAUUAGAUACCCUGGUAGUCCACGCCGUAAAACGAUGGAAGCUAGCCGUCAGGGUGCAUGCAUCUUGGUGGCGCAGUUAACGCAUUAAGCUUCCCGCCUGGGGAGUACGGUCGCAAGAUUAAAAACUUAAAUGAAUUGACGGGGUCAUAGCUGUUUCCU